UGUCUCAUUCACUCUUAUCAAGUCCGGAUUCUUAGUAUCAACCAGAUUCGAAAGCUCGAAUCAGAAUUGACUCCCAUUCCCAUGGCCGAAGCUAGGUCAUGGCAUGGACAAUAAUGUGGCCCGCAUUUUCAAGUUGCACAAGUCACGGUCAUGGGAUACUGGCCACAGGCUAUUGGGGCUAUCGGUGAUCAUUAGCUGAAAAUUACAUCCAGCAACUUUCUAGGAAUCUAUACGUAUAAAGAAAAGGUGAUGCUUUGGAAUACACCCAUCUACUAAUUUUUAGAAUCCUUAUCAUCCAGUCAAUCACCAAGAGAAAGUAAUAUCUAUGUUUGUGGAUUCUUCCCUUUGAGAACUAUUCCUCUAUGAGUGGUCCUCUCUCACAAGUUGGGGAAGGUGAUUAUCUUGGACUUUCUUAUGGUUUAAGGGCUUCUUUUUUUACCUACAAAUUGUUUAGAUAAUAUCAAUGACUUUAGUACUAGGAAUAUUAACUUGAUAUUGGAGAUUAAACACGUCUAACUGUUUGAAGAGAGAAGCAGAGAAUCUACAACUUUAGAGGGAGAAAAAAAAAGUCGGUUAAUCUACCUUGGCUGAAAAGUAAGAUUUUUUUUUGAGAGGGUGGGUGGAAUCUAGAACAAAGGGAAAUUCCAGGUAAUUGAAAGUAUAAGACAUAAAUGAUAGAUUUAGUUGCCUGAAUUAGGAUUGGUAUCUUUAGAAAACUUAUGUGGAGGAUAUGCAUGGGGAAUUGCUGCUUGUGUGAUUGAGAAGCCUCCAGCAGAACUGAUAAGCAUUGAUUGGAUAUAUUUGCUAUGUGAUUUUAGGUUGAGUUAAGUUUUGAGGCCAUGUAGAAGGUGCUUUCACACUUGAUAAUACUUCUGUGGCUUAUAUACGAAUUGGAUAAGAUAAUAUACUGCAGGCAUUGAUUAUAUCUGAUGUGAUAUUUGGAAGUAGAAAGUGAAGGACAAGAACUUACUAAUCAUUUUUUGAUUGCCACCAAUUUGAAAAUCUGUCCAUCUUUGAUCCAUCAGCAAAGAGUUUUUAAGUUUUUUUAACCAUCUUCUUGCCUUUAAAUGGCUGUUGGCGGCAGAAAACUUUCUACGUACGUACAUACAUACAUGUACAAUAUAAUAUUGUAUGUUUAGGAGACUGCAUGACAAGUCGCCGUACGUUGAUUCUAGUGUCAUACGGUUCAGUCGGAAAAGAACAAGAUAUCGUGGGGUAUGGAUUCUCUUUUCCUCGCAAUGAUAUUUUAUUGUCGUUCUUGUAAAAGUGAAGUCUAAAGUCAAACUUGUCGCAUUCGAGCUUGUUGAUUGCUUAGCCAUAAUCAAGUUUCAGAGCAGAGUUUUUACAUGUCAUUCUCUAGUUUGUCGAUUUACUUUUCUAUUGAAAGUAUUUACUGCCUACUACAAUGAUGUAAUCAAUGUGUAUUGAUUUGUUUGUUAUAUUAACUUGUGAGAAUCUUAUUGCUUUAA